rnacentral:rRNA from 1 species
UACGUAGGGUGCGAGCGUUGUCCGGAAUUAUUGGGCGUAAAGAGCUCGUAGGCGGUCUGUCGCGUUGAUCGUGAAAACUUGGGGCUUAACCCUGAGCUUGCGGUCGAUACGGGCAUGACUGGAGUUCGGCAGGGGAGACUGGAAUUCCUGGUGUAGCGGUGAAAUGCGCAGAUAUCAGGAGGAACACCGGUGGCGAAGGCGGGUCUCUGGGCCGUAACUGACGCUGAGGAGCGAAAGCGUGGGGAGCGAACAGG